GACCUCGUCGUCUAACUGGUAAAGACAGCCUUCUUUUAAGAGCUUAUCACGGUUCGAAUCCGCGCUUGGUCA